UACGUAGGGGGCAAGCGUUGUUCGGAAUUACUGGGCGUAAAGGGCGCGUAGGCGGCAUGGCAAGUCAGGAGUGAAAGGCCUGGGCUCAACCGAGGAACUGCUUUUGAUACUGCCAAGCUAGAGUGCGGAAGGGGCAACUGGAAUUCCCAGUGUAGCGGUGAAAUGGCGUAGAUAUUGGGAAGAACACCUGAGGCGAAGGGCGGGAGUUGGCUGGCCGACGACUGACGCUGAGGCGCGAAAAGCCAGGGG
rnacentral:rRNA from 1 species